rnacentral:rRNA from 1 species
ACGUGGGAAUCUACCCAAACUGAGGGAUAACGCAUCGGAAACGGUGUCUAAUACCGCAUAUGGUCUUCGGAUUAAAGCUUCGGCGGUUUGGGAAGAGCCCGCGUAAGAUUAGCUAGUUGGUGAGGUAAUGGCCCACCAAGGCGACGAUCUUUAGCUGGUUUUGAGAGGAUGAUCAGCCACACUGGAACUGAGACACGGUCCAGACUCCUACGGGAGGCAGCAGUUAGGAAUUUUCCACAAUGGGGGCAACCCUGAUGGAGCAACGCGCGUGCAGGAUGAAGGUUUUCGGAUUGUAAACUGCUUUUGUACGUGAAGAAUAUGACGGUAGCGUACGAAUAAGGAUCGGCUAACUCCGUG